GUACUGAGGCAGCAGCGGGACCCUCCGGCAGAUGCAGCCCCCACUCCAGGGUGCUGAGCUUCGUGUCCUGCCCAGGCGGAGUGACCCAGCCCCAGUGGCAGCGCGGGAGGCUGGCAGCUGUCCUGUCCCACAAGCUGGUGUCGCUGCGCGGGGCCCUGCGGAGGAGCCAGGAGAGGACGCAAGAGCUGGGAGCUGGUGCUCAGGGGACCUGGAGAGAAAGGGAGAGAGGCAGCAGGGCUGGCUGGGCGCCGCUGGCAUGGACACAGGACCAGCUGGACCUGGAGAAUGUGGUGGGCACCCCAAGUUGGGUAAAGCAGGGUGGGGGCUGGGGGGGCUCUGGGUGAGCUGGGGGACAGCAGGGUGAGGGGCUGGGCUGGCCAGGGCUGCGGCUACACGGGGAGGAAAGCGCGGAGCUGCUUCUGUGUGGAGGAGGUGGGAAGUGGAGAAGAGGGGGGGUCCUGUCUCAGCAGGGGCUCUCAGAGAGGCUGUGAUGGGGGCACGGGGCAGGCACGAAGGGCAACGUUGGCUCUGCGAGACGAGAAACUGGAGCUGCAGGAGGUCGGUGCGUGCUGUGGGUCUGGGGCUGCGUGGGACAGACCCGGGGAGGGAGGGAGCGGGUCCCUUGUCAAGGCCAAGCCCCUCAUCCAGCCACCUGCGUGUCCCCUGUUGGGGUAUGGCCAAGUUCCUAAAACAGUUUAAAGAGAGAGGAUCCGUGGGGAAAAGCAGCCCUGUGGCUGUGCCCGGGCCUGGCUGGUUGGGCUGCAGCCUGAGAGGUCCCUUGUGGCACAGGCAAGGCUUGCAGCUCCUGCAGUGUUGGCACGAUGCUGGUUGCCGCCGUGCCCACGCUUCCCACCCAGCCUGAGCCAGCGUUGGGGGGACUGCACAUGGGAAGUGCCUUGCUGGGCCUGGGUGACGUGUUGGGGUGGCCCCACGGGGUGGGGACCCAUCUCUUCGUGCAGAGGCUCCGCGAGCUGCAGCAUCGAACCCGCUCCCUCCUGCGGCAGCGGCUGGAGACCCUGGAGCGGCUCCGUGUGCUGCUGCGGGAGGAGAAGGCGGCCGCGCCUCGGCAGCUCCAGGAGGCUAUGGAGAAGGAGCGGGACUGGAGGCAGCAGCGGGCCCGGCGGCAGAAGCGGGAGCAUCUUCACCGGGAGAAGGCGGCAGCGGUGGGAGGCCUGGAGGAGCCGCUGGCCCAAGUGAGUGCCCUGCAGGAGGCAGGGAUGUGCGGGGUGGGACCCCCCCCUUUUUGUCCUCCCUGUCCUGUCCGAACCGGGACUGAAGACGCCGCCUGUGUGCAGAGAUGGAGCCAACGUCUGCGCCUCCGCUCCGCCGCGUCCCAGUCCCCAAGCACCGCGCCCGGCCUCCAGCAGCACGGCCCUGGGUCCCUGGGUCUCCUGCACCAUGUCCAGCGCUGCCUGCAGGAGCUGCAGGUGGAUAAGACACACCGCACAGGCAACCUGGAGAACCCCAAAGUCCUGGGAAGAGAGCUGGGCGCCGCAGCAAGCGAGGAGGAAUGGGGACAGCCUGGGACAGGGGACUCGCCCUCCACCGCAGCCUCACCCAAACAAGAGCAGAGGUUCCUGGUACCAGACACCUCACGCCCCAGCAGGAGCAGCAGGAGGAAACACGACUGCAGGAGGAGUCGUCUGCUGUGACAGGGACUUGGACUGGGGCACAGAGGUGCUGAGACAUCCCUGGCUGCUCCAUCUCCCUGUACGUGCCCAGAAGAACCAGCCAUAAAGCUGCUGGACCCUCCCUUUGCAGGACGUUUCCCACAGACCUUUCCAAAUGGAAACUUCCCUUCGGGUCCUCCUGGUUGUGCUCCUUUCCAGAGCUGGUGGCUGAGGGACAUUUGUCUUGGGUGCGAUCGGAACGGGUCUGGGUCUCCACCAGGCCAUUGCCCAGGUCCAGCCAGGCCAACAUUGGAGCCCUACCAGCAUCUUUACUUUCUUUGCAUUCCCUAAGGAACUUGGGGUGGUGACGUCCCUACCACAGGGGUGGCGGUGGAGUGGGGCUGGGGAGGAUGCUCUGGGGUUGGGAAGAGAUGUGGGGAAGGAAAAGAGGGUGCAAGGGCUGGAAGAAGGCUUGUGCCUUUCCAGCGCAAGGUGGAGGCUGAGGCCACGCACACUUUGCAAGCAGGAUGUGGGCUCCGAGUUGGUGAAUCCUGCACCCAGAAGCCAAAGCAUUUCAGGUGGAAAAAAAAGUCUUCAGCUGGCAAGUGCCUGGCUGGCAGGAGGCAGGGCUGGCAGGCAGGAGGAAGGGGGCUCAGGAGGUGUCUCAUGCACUGGGUGCCCCAGGGGAGCUCAAGGGUCUGGCAGCAGGUCCCUGGGCUGGGCUGGUUUGGUGCCUCCAUGGGACUGAGCUUCCUGCAGAGCCUGGUCCUGGGUGUGAGAGAGGAGAAAUCUGGCUCCGGCUCCCUCCAGCUGCCCCAGGCAGCUCGGCCCCUGCUCCUGGAGCUCCAGGUGUUCCCAGGCAAGCAGGACACGGCCACACAGCCAAGCCGGGGGCACCACACCAGCCCCGGGAUGGUUGCAGGAAGGAACACUUAAUGGAAAAAAAAAAAAAAAAGGAAAAU
ensembl:lncRNA